UGCCGCUGACUCAUCAUUUCCUCUCUAGGUCUUUCCGGUAUGUCUGGAAUCUUCUGAAAUCUUCUUCACGAGUAUGGUUAGUACUAUAUGAUCAUGAAGAUUUCAUGUUUGGAAGAUGUUGGAUUUACUGCCAGUGGCGUUUUGGAUGUCUUUUUUAGAUUUGAGGCUAGGAAAGACUUUGAGUUAGUCAAUGUUCUCUUGCUGCUUCAAAGAUGAAUAAGGGGGCUUGAUCUCUUUGAGGAUCAUUAGUUCAAGCAGUGACAUGUAAUUGCUUGACAACGAGAGAGAGCACGCUAGUCAGCAUUCAUGCGAGGAACAUGACUGUGUACAGGCGUGCUCUCUGUCGCUGUCAUACAAUCUUCUCAUCAAGGCUGUCUUACAUAUUCACCUUGUUCGUGAGCGUUGGACCUCAAGGCAUACCCACUAGCAGGAUUUGAUCACUUACCAAACAAGACACGGGUUGCAUCCUUGAGGAAAUCUCCAAGUAAGCCAUGCAUAUAUGCACUUCCCAUAUCCACAUGCAUUCAAAAAGGAAGCAGAAUAUUCAAUGAGGGAGAGGCUGCCACAGAAGAUCCCCACUUCCCAUAAGAAGAUAUCUACAGGCUGGUUGUACUAAGGGGAAUUUUGGGGAUCCUCACGCAGCCAUAGAAGGAGUGGGCUGCCAUAUAAAUAAGAAUAUAAGAACAGGGAAAGGAGGACUCUCGAGAGCAUGCAUAGAUUUUGGAGAGCAGCAGGGGACUUCGGACAGCAAAUUCGGUUGCCACUUUGACGCACCAAGAGAGGAUUUUCUGAAAAACACGCGCAACAGAUUUCUGGGCUGCUACAACACAACACACAUCAUUGAGGCUUCUCCGACAGGCAUGCAUUAUCAGUUUUGAAAAGAAAAAUGGAGGAAAGGAAAAGGAAAAAAGAAUCUGAUUAUUUAUGAGUGGUUUUUCAUGGUUUGGAACCUGGGAGGAAAUGAAUCAUAUAUCCUUUCAUACAUGAGGCCGUGUUUUCAGAUUUCAUGCUUGGAAGAUGUUGGGUUUGCUCCCAGUGGCAUUUUUGGUGAGUGAAUGUCCUAGGUCCACAUUUUUAAUGAGAGUGAUGGACAAACUUGCAGUUUAAUAUCUUUGUUGCUUUUAUACCAAUAUUUGGGUUGUGUAUUUGUUUAAAAAUCCAGAAAUGUAGAAAAUUUUAUUGAAGCCUCUGGCAUGUUUUGGUUGUUUUAA